CAAAUUAAACUUGCCACUAAUCCAAUUUCGAUUUUACAAGCACAGAUUUGAGAUUUACCAUUCACUUUUUCAUCCCAAAUCCAUCCAGCAUCUACAUAGAACUGUCGACUCUACCACUCACUCAUUUCGUCGCUAGUGCCCCCGUAGCUUGAUCACCCCCAACGUCCACAGUGCCAUUUGCAUUGACCGACUCCUGAGUCCCAAUGUCUCUGAG
rnacentral:lncRNA from 1 species